rnacentral:rRNA from 1 species
GACGAACGCUGGCGGCGUGCCUAAUACAUGCAAGUAGAACGCUGAAGGUGGAGCUUGCUCUUCUGGAUGAGUUGCGAACGGGUGAGUAACGCGUAGGUAACCUGCCUGGUAGCGGGGGAUAACUAUUGGAAACGAUAGCUAAUACCGCAUAACAGUAGAUGUUGCAUGACAUUUACUUAAAAGGUGCAAUUGCAUCACUACCAGAUGGACCUGCGUUGUAUUAGCUAGUUGGUGGGGUAACGGCUCACCAAGGCGACGAUACAUAGCCGACCUGAGAGGGUGAUCGGCCACACUGGGACUGAGACACGGCCCAGACUCCUACGGGAGGCAGCAGUAGGGAAGCUUCGGCAAUGGACGGAAGUCUGACCGAGCAACGCCGCGUGAGUGAAGAAGGUUUUCGGAUCGUAAAGCUCUGUUGUAAGAGAAGAACGAGUGUGAGAGUGGAAAGUUCACACUGUGACGGUAUCUUACCAGAAAGGGACGGCUAACUACGUG